UGUGCACAUCUGAGUUUUAUAGCCAAAGU
rnacentral:piRNA from 1 species